rnacentral:lncRNA from 1 species
UCCAGCAUUUUUGUAACAUUACAUUGCAUUUUGUAACAUUGCUGAGCCCCUCUUUGAGUAAUUGGCAGAAAAGGCUGAGUCCUCAUAGAAUUGUGUGCUAUUUCUAAAACAUAUCCAUGGUUUAAAAAGCUUUAAGAUCUAUAAACUAAAAUCCACCCAUUUUGCAGGAUGAUUCACAGUGUCGACAGUUUGGAUCAAUUUCCUGAAGAAAGGACAAAACUGGAAGCUAUUCUUUAUGUAGAGAAGAGAAUUCCAACCAGUGAGAUGAGAAUUGCACAAAUCCUGCAGCCCAUCUCUGCCACAGCUCAAAGUUGUUGGGUAAGUAAUGACCCAGACCAUUGAAGAAAAUGAGGAAACUGUGCACACAGACUGAUGUCUUAUGUGACCAACAUGCAUAUAAGAAAUGGAAGCUUCCCCC